AUUGAACGCUGGCGGCAUGCUUUACACAUGCAAGUCGAACGGUAACAGGCCGCAAGGUGCUGACGAGUGGCGAACGGGUGUGUAAUUCAUCGGAACGUGCCCAGUCGUGGGGUUUAACUACUCGAAAGAGUAGCUAAUACCUCAUACGAUCUAUGGAUUAAAGCGGGGGACCGUAAGGCCUCUCGCGAUUUUAUCUGCCGAUUUCAGAUUAGGUAGUUGGUGGGGUAAAGGCUCACCAAGCCAACGAUCUGUAGCUGGUCUGAGAGGACGACCAGCCACACUGGAACUGAGACACGGCCCAGACGCCUACGGGAGGCAGCAGUGGGGAAUUUUGGACAAUGGGCGCAAGCCUGAUCCAGCAAUGCCGCGUGCAGGAAGAAGGCCUUCGGGUUGUAAACUGCUUUUGUACGGAACGAAACGGCUCUGGUUAAUACCCGGGGCUAAUGACGGUACCGUAAGAAUAAGCACCGGCUAACUACGUG
rnacentral:rRNA from 1 species